rnacentral:rRNA from 1 species
GGACCCGCACAAGCAGUGGAGCAUGUGGUUUAAUUCGACGCAACGCGAAGAACCUUACCAGCGUUUGACAUGGGAAGUGCCGGUUACAGAAUGGUAACCUUCAGUUCGGCUGGCUUCCACACAGGUGCUGCAUGGCUGUCGUCAGCUCGUGUCGUGAGAUGUUGGUUAAGUCCCGCAACGAGCGCAACCCUUAUCGUUAGUUACUAACAGUUCGGCUGAGGACUCUAGCGAAACUGCCGGUGAUAAGCCGGAGGAAGGUGGGGAUGACGUCAAGUCCUCAUGGCCCUUACACGCUGGGCUACACACGUGCUACAAUGGUAACUACAACGGGACGCAAUACCGCGAGGUGGAGCAAA